rnacentral:lncRNA from 1 species
GGUGGGAGGGGGUAAAACCUGCAACCAAGAAAACAUCCCAAGAGCUGUAAACGAGGAGAAGCUUCUCUUAUCUUCCCCCAGACACUUAUUUGCAUUCCAAAAGAGAAGACCACAUUGAUAGCAGCCAGAAAAGAGCUUGUUGAUGUCCGGCAUGAAUAAUGCCUGUCUGUGCCCAGAGAGUUUGCUCAGCCUGCCAUGGAUCCUUCCUGCUGGGGGCACCUGCAGAAGUCGUGAAGGUGGGGAAGGAAAGCAUCCACCCAUGCCUAAGGUUUUCAGGGUCGAAUUGAUUCCAAUGAUUGAAGAUGCAGCCAAGAGGGGAGUCAGAUAGGACUGAAGGAAUGUUUCCCAACACUAAUCUGUGGAAAAGAAGAAGGGAGUUGUCAGGCCUCUGAGCCCAAGCCAAGCCAUUGCAUCCCCUGUGACUUGCACAUAUAUGCCCAGA